UACGUAGGGUGCGAGCGUUGUCCGGAAUUAUUGGGCGUAAAGAGCUCGUAGGCGGUCUGUCGCGUCGGAUGUGAAAACUCGGGGGCUCAACCCCGAGCCUGCAUUCGAUACGGGCAGACUAGAGUUCGGUAGGGGAGACUGGAAUUCCUGGUGUAGCGGUGAAAUGCGCAGAUAUCAGGAGGAACACCGGUGGCGAAGGCGGGUCUCUGGGCCGAUACUGACGCUGAGGAGCGAAAGCGUGGGGAGCGAACAGG
rnacentral:rRNA from 1 species